rnacentral:rRNA from 1 species
UAGGGAAUCUUCCGCAAUGGACGCAAGUCUGACGGAGCAACGCCGCGUGAGUGAAGAAGGAUUUCGGUUCGUAAAACUCUGUUGUUAGAGAAGAACAGCGCAUAGAGUAACUGUUAUGCGUGUGACGGUAUCUAACUAGAAAGCCACGGCUAACUACGUGCCAGCAGCCGCGGUAAUACGUAGGUGGCAAGCGUUGUCCGGAUUUAUUGGGCGUAAAGCGGGCGCAGGCGGUCAAUUAAGUCUGAUGUGAAAGCCCCCGGCUCAACCGGGGAGGGUCAUUGGAAACUGGUUGACUUGAGUGCAGAAGAGGAGAGUGGAAUUCCAUGUGUAGCAGUGAAAUGCGUAGAUAUAUGGAGGAACACCAGUAGCGAAGGCGACUCUCUGGUCUGUAACUGACGCGGAGGCUCGAAAGCGUGGGUAGCAAACAGG